UACCUCGGGUAGCGCCAAAGCCCUUUCCACGAUAAGAACCAGGAGCAGGGCUGCAGCCCAGGGCACCAAGCUCAAGUCACUGCAGACCCUGCCAGGGGCCAUUUUCCUUUCCCUUCGUCCUUCCCAGGAGAUCGCGAGACUUGCGCGUCAUGUAGGGAAAGAGGGU